UUUAAUUUUAUUCUAGUUUCAAUCACACCUUUGACCCUUUAGCCCCCAUUUUUUCCAUAUAUACGUUUUUUUCUCUUUUUAAACUGCUUUUUUUUUAUAGUAUUUAGGAGUUCCUCUUAUAUAUUAUUUUAAACUGUUUUAAAUUCAUCAUUAUUUAUUUCAAGUUUUUUUUAUAUACGUUAUUUAUUUUAAAUAUAUAUAUACA
rnacentral:lncRNA from 1 species